rnacentral:rRNA from 1 species
UGGUGGGUAGUUUGACUGGGGCGGUCUCCUCCUAAAGAGUAACGGAGGAGCACGAAGGUUGGCUAAUCCUGGUCGGACAUCAGGAGGUUAGUGCAAUGGCAUAAGCCAGCUUGACUGCGAGCGUGACGGCGCGAGCAGGUGCGAAAGCAGGUCAUAGUGAUCCGGUGGUUCUGAAUGGAAGGGCCAUCGCUCAACGGAUAAAAGGUACUCCGGGGAUAACAGGCUGAUACCGCCCAAGAGUUCAUAUCGACGGCGGUGUUUGGCACCUCGAUGUCGGCUCAUCACAUCCUGGGGCUGAAGUAGGUCCCAAGGGUAUGGCUGUUCGCCAUUUAAAGUGGUACGCGAGCUGGGUUUAGAACGUCGUGAGACAGUUCGGUCCCUAUCUGCCGUGGGCGCUGGAGAACUGAGGGGGGCUGCUCCUAGUACGAGAGGACCGGAGUGGACGCAUCAC